rnacentral:tRNA from 1 species
CGGGAGUUCAGCUAGUCCGGUUCAGGCCUCUCGCUUUGGACGCGAGGAACGGAGGUUCAAAUCCUCCACUCCCGA